rnacentral:misc_RNA from 1 species
AUCCAGGAAAUAUUACCUACUACUAGCACAGAGUUGUUAGCAACUAUGACCUGCUACUAAUACUGAGAUGGAGAACGUCAACGUGCCUGCUGACCCUGCACAUAUGACGCAUGGUAUCCAAGUGGGCUGUGUCCUGCCACAUUCAGGAAAUUUGAGGUGCAACCCUUGUAGGAAAUCAGGUUUCACUGUCCAGUUACACGAAGCCUGGUGUAAAUAGCUUGUUUGGUCCAGUUGCACCCAACAAAGGGCAACUACCAUGCUGUAAUGAAACUUGAUGGUAUCAGUUUACACCAACGCUAAACUACAUAUACAGCUCCCAAUACAGUGUGCUUUGAGAAGGGAGAGCAACUAUGCCCUGUACGUUUCUGGAAAGAAGAAGUGUUGAGAAGAAGAGUUCUGUGUUGAAGUCAGCAUUGACAUCCUGAGUAGUGAAAAGAUCAGCAGGGAGUAGCAUCAGUUCGCUACUGUGUGGAGGGACAGUGUUUCUCCCUAUACUCAUGGACAGUACUGUACAUCUAAACAUAUGAUUCAUAUUAUAUAUUGUUUCAUAAUGUGAGGUGUGUUUUUUUCAUUCAAAAUAUCAAUUAUCAUAUAUGGUGAAUUUAGCAUCUUACAAAUAUACUGUGCAUGGAAUUUCUUCACUUACACUGUUUUCAGCAUGUUGAGGCAAAACUCUUUUCAUGUGUUACAUUUAUGUUUAUUGUUUCCUCAACAAUAAAGAACUAGCAAAAUGA